UGGAAAGUGUGUUAUCAAAUAAACUUUCAGAAUUGUUGGACAGCGAUAUUAAAUAUAGCGUACAGAAAUUAAGGUCAACUGAAAUAUCUCAUCUUUAUAUUGGACCAGAUCAUACUGCAGGCAAUGAAGCAAGCCAGUUCAGCUCAGUUUGAUCAGUUUAAAAAGAGUUCUGAUUCUAAACCACACCCAACUAAAGGUGGCACAGUUUAAUGAAUACCUCACAUAUGGGUGUUUGGUCGAUAUGACGCCCCCGAUGAGUAUGAAUCGGCGAUAAGAAAACACUGGACAUGUUCAUUGUGCAAGAAAAGGUUGAUUGUUAGCGUACUGGAGAAAAUACAACAUGAAAGUCAGUGUACAGGUAUAAAUGCAAAUACAAGUGACACUGAAAUUAUCCAGGAGACGAGUGGACGUCAGAUCAGUAACCUUCAAAAGAUCUACCACUGUGACACGUGCAAGCAAGACUUCCAGUUUACAACCACGGAGAUAUUGAAACAUAAAAGAACACACAAAACAUAACAAUUUGUAUUAACGCUGUACGUUAUGAACAUGCGUACCUUUAACAACUAAUAGAACAGACUGACAGCAUGGCAUUCUUUUUCAUCAAAUGCAUGCCAUGUAUUAGUUUAUUAACUAUUAAUGACGCAAGAUA